ACCUGCUGAAUUUAAGCAUAUAAGUAAGCGGAGGACAAGAAACUAAACAGGAUCCCCAUAGUAAUGGCGAAUGAACCGGGAUAAACUCAGCAUGGAAAUUGGGGCCUUUGGCUUUGACUUGUAAUCUGGUGAGGCAUUGCCAACAGAGGCGCAUAUGUAAGUCUCUUGGAAAAGAGCAUCAACGAAGGUGAGAGUCCUGAUUGUCAUGUGCAGCCCCCCUGUGCACGGUGUGCCUUCUAAGAGUCACGUUCCUUGGGAUUGGAGCGCAAAUUGGGUGGUAACUUUCAUCUGAAGUUAAACAAUGGUUUGGGACCGAUAGGAAACAAGUACCAUGAGGGAAAGGUGAAAAGGACUUUGGAAAGAGAGUUAAAAGUGCCUGAAAUUGCUGAAGGGGAAGCGAAUGGAACCAGUAGUGCUGGGUGAGAUUGUCACAUGCUACAAGGAUUGGUUGCUGCCACAACGCAAGUGUGAUGGCAAUUUGUGAAUUGCUAGUGUGUGGUGUGUCUUACCUAGUGGGUCAUUGUGGGUUUAUGCAUUAAGAUAAGUCAAAGCAAGCGGGAGCAAGUUUACGAGUUUGUGAAUGUGUGUUGUUAUGCUUGUGCGUAAGCUUUAGUGUUUGUCUGGCUGCAGGGCUGUCCAUCCUCGAGCUGAGGGUUGCGAUGAGCAUAACCUUCUGCACAGAUCUUGACGAAAUGGUUUCAUUCGACCCGUCUUGAAACACGGACCAAGG
rnacentral:rRNA from 1 species